rnacentral:rRNA from 1 species
GAUGAACGCUGGCGGCGUGCUUAACACAUGCAAGUCGAACGAUGAUCCGGUGCCUGCACCGGGGAUUAGUGGCGAACGGGUGAGUAACACGUGAGUAACCUGCCCUUAACUCUGGGAUAAGCCUGGGAAACUGGGUCUAAUACCGGAUAUGACUCCUCAUCGCAUGGUGGGGGGUGGAAAGCUUUUGUGGUUUUGGAUGGACUCGCGGCCUAUCAGCUUGUUGGUGGGGUAAUGGCUCACCAAGGCGACGACGGGUAGCCGGCCUGAGAGGGGGACCGGCCACACUGGGACUGAGACACGGCCCAGACUCCUACGGGAGGCAGCAGUGGGGAAUAUUGCACAAUGGGCGGAAGCCUGAUGCAGCGACGCCGCGUGAGGGAUGACGGCCUUCGGGUUGUAAACCUCUUUCAGUAGGGAAGAAGCGAAAGUGACGGUACCUGCAGAAGAAGCGCCGGCUAACUACGUGCCAGCAGCCGCCGCCG